CCUGGUGGGCUGCCGUCUCUGGGGUCGCACAGAGUCAGACACGACUGAAGUGACUUAGCAGCAGUACAGAGUCGGACACGACUGAAGCGACUUAGCAGCAGCAGCAGCAGUAGGAAAAUAGAAAUGUAGAAAAUAGCUUUAUUCUUUCACCUGAAAAUAAAUAAUGAUGAAAUGCUGACUUUACUUAUUUUUUAAUAUUCUUCUCUAUAUAAUGUAGGACACAGAUAUAUCUAUAGAGAUACAGACAUAUCUACAUAGAUACAUAGUCUGUGACAUAGUUUUUGCAAGGCUGCUACAUACAUGCAAACCUUAACCAAAGUACCUAGAAAUGCCGGAUUCUCCAGUACUGACUGACUUUUCCUCCUGAUUUUCAGCUAUCGAAGUAAUUCGCAUACUAAAACAUUUUUUAUUUUCAUUGACUUCACAUGACUAGGGAAAUAAUGGCCCUGGAUAUGGUAAGAAUCCAUCUGGAAUGAGAGAAAACAUGAUUGAUUUUCUAAAUCGUGUGUGUAUGUGUAAUCACCAGUUGCUUAAAAGCAAUUUAUAUCGGUGUUCAACAUCAUAACCAAGGGGAAAAUGUCUUCUUGAGAUGUAAUGAUAGUUUUAAGAGACCAUUAAUUGCCACAUUCUGCAGAUAUGCGUGUGCUUCAACCAAGGAAAAUGGCAUUGGCAAUUAUGCCAAAGGGCAUAAAGUGUACUGUAUAAGGAAAACAAGGUUCAAUUGUAAAGGCCGAAGGGAACAUUAAGGAGAUGGCCUCAACAGUUUAAAAGGCAAUAUGCCAGUUCCUUCAGCGCCAAGUAUGCCUCCUGCCUGGUCUGGCUUCAUUAACUUUAAAAAAGCAUUUCUUUAAAACAGCUGAAAAGAAGAGGAAACAAGAAACACCUGGUGCAGAGCCCCAGCUCCUGCCUCAUGGUUGUGAAACGCCCAGGAUGCUAUACGAUCACCGCCGUCCUCAGCCAUGCCCAAACAGUAGUUUUGUCUGUUGGCGGCUCUACUGUCCUCUGCCAGCCUACAGGAGGAAAAGCAAGGUUUACAGAAGGAUGCUCCUUCAACAGAAGCAGCACUAAAAGUACCCUGUAAAAAGGUGAAUCGGAAACCAUCCCCAUAAACAUAUUUUGGAUUAAAAGACACAGAAAACUAAGAGAAAUUAAUACAGUGUUAAUGGUAGAUAUUGAAAGGCAAGAGAAACAAACACUGGAAAACUGGCUGUGGAUUCUACUAUCAUGGGUAUAAAAUUCUAAUUUAAUCCUCUAGCACAUUAUACAUUUUACUUAAUCUCUAUUUGAUUACAUUCUAGCAUUUAAUGCUAGACAUGUGGAUACUUAAGGAAAGGCAAAAUAACAAGAAAUAUACCAAAUAUACAAUCCCAUUGCUAUCUGUAACUGCUACCAUCAGAGUAAAAGAGAAUGCUGAGGUGGAUCUUGAUUGAGAACCAAGUUCAGGGCUAUGGCCACUAGCCUCAAACCUGCCCCCAAAGGAAAAAUUACGCUGGGACAAUGGAAAGGGCCUUCAAGACCUCUGGUUACCCAGAAGGUAGUCCAUGUGGGGGAAGGGAAGACACAAAACCAAGAAACUAUUGAAAAGAGAAGGUCCAGUGUGAAGCAGCUGUCUCACUUUGUGGAUCGUUUUCACUGGCUCCCUGCAGAAGCUUUACUGAAAUGGGUUGUGACAGUGAUAAAUUCAAGGGCAGAAUCUUCGGUUUUGAAUACUACAGAGUGGACGAGCACCUUCAGGUGGACACAGGACCCACAGCUUGGUAUAGGACAGUCAUAGAUGGCUAGAUAUGCCAGACUCACAGCACGUUAUUCCCAAGGGAACAGCCAGCCCAAUGGACUACAUAAAUGCUGCUAUAAAGUGUAUUUAUCCUGAGAAGGCCUUUCCAGUUUCCCAUAUCAAUGCCAAGUGGAAUACCCCAGAUAAAGCAGCUGAAAUGCUUCGCAAGCAAACUUUGUGGGACUGGCUUUGUGCUGAUGGGGCUGUUCAUCCACCCAGUUCAUGGUAAGUGCUAUGAUUAAGGGGGCCCCUUUUCCAUGGACAUCCCAUUUCAUCUUUCUCCUGCAGAAUUGAACAACAGUCUGAGAAGCCUUAUGAGAUUUGUGUCCUCAGCUUCCUCAUGUGGGUCUUAAAAUGCCAAAAACAUUAAAGAAAGGGGGAGAGACAGAAGGGCGAAUUGAGGGACUUGCUCCAGUGGGGUGAACAUCUUUGGACAGCUAUUAAGAAAUAGGAUAAAUAAAAUGGACAUUGAUGGAAUUGAAACAAAAGUUUUAAUACAGCACUACUGAAUUCUGGGGGCGGGGGGCUCCUGCUACACAUCCAACAUGAAAGGCCCCCCCAGAGUCUGCUUUGUCCCAAUUUAGAGGAAUUUUUAAAACUGGAAGGCAAAGGUUACAAUGAGGAACUCUUCUUGAAAAUAUCUGAAGUAUUGGUGGCCAAAAAGUUCGUUCAGGAUGAUACAGAAACCAUGAAUGAACUUUUUGGCCAACCCUACAAUAGGGGGAUUAAUCAAGAGAAAGGUUGAUAAAAGGGCCUCAGGCCCUUGGCUCAGCCCUUCUCUGGGAACCAGAAGUCUUAUGCAUGUGAGUAAAAAGGUUAGAAACUGUGGGGGUUUCAGGGACACUUUGACCCCGGAGCCUUGUGCUAAAUCUGUACUAAAAUCUGUCCGUGAGGUUCUAAUGGGAGGCAGGGUAUAUGGAGAGGAUACAGAAAUGUAAUAGUAGAUAGAAUUGAGGUGAACAAGAUUAUAUGAAGUGGUUAUGACUUUUCUAUCUGAAUGUAUUAUGAGGAUGGGUAUCAUCUCUGGUUGGGGAAUAUUUCCCCUCAGUUCAGUUCAGUUGCUCAGUCAUGUCUGACUAUUUGCAACCCGUGAACCGCAGCACACCAGGCCUCCUUGUCCAUCACCAACUCCCAG